CCUACGGGUGGCUGCAGUAGGGAAUCUUUCACAAUGGGGGAAAGCCUGAUGGAGCAACGCCGCGUGCAGGAUGAAGGACUUCGGUUUGUAAACUGCUUUUAUAAGCGAAGAAUAUGAUGGUACCUUAUGAAUAAGGAUCGGCUAACUACGUGCCAGCAGCCGCGGUCAUACGUAGGGUCCGAGCAUUAUCCGGAUUGACUGGGUGUAAAGAGUUGGGUAGGGGGCAUAAUAAGUAGCUAGGGAAAUCUGGGGGCUCAACCAUUCAGACUAUUAGCUAAACUGGUAAGCUCGAGACCGUUAGGGGUAACUGGAAUUUCUAGUGUAGGAGUGAAAUCCGUAGAUAUUAGAAAGAACACCGAUAGCGUAGGCAGGUUACUGGGACGGUUCUGACACUAAGGCACGAAAGCGUAGGGAGCAAACGGGAUUAGAUACCCUAGUAGUC
rnacentral:rRNA from 1 species